rnacentral:lncRNA from 1 species
UCCAAAGUCCAAGUUACAACACCAAUUCAAUUUACAAAUGAAUAGAAAAAUAAAUUACAAGCCUAAAUGAAAAGGAAGGUCAAUGGCCCAAAACAUUUAAAAACUUUCAAGGGUUUCUGGUGCCGUUGCCCUUUUGCCACAUCAAUGCUCUUCAUCCCGAGGCCUGACACCCUUUUUGUCGCUGUUUCACCAAAGUAGCAAAAGGUCCACCUUUCUCUCCUCCGUUGACUAAGCGCCAGACCUGCAAAAGGAUCAAAGGACAGAAACCAUACGCAGAGACAGUAGCAAAAAGACAGAGUAGAAACAAUAGAAAAUACAUAGAAAAACCAAAAAUCUAAUGUAUUAUUUUGCUAUAAAAGCCACCACAAUCAAUAUAAUUUUGGAGGGGAAGAAAUAUAAAAAAAACUCACAAUAGUUUUUAAGAAAGGUAUUUUUUCUUUUAUAUAUUUUUUUCUUAAACAUAUCGUGUGUGUGUGUAUAUAUAUAUAUAAAAUACAAAAACCUUUACCUUCACUGCCUUUGCUGGAGACUUCUUUGGCUUGGAAGGUGGCUGGACUCGUGGUGGUUCGCUGAAAACCUCAUUGGGGUGACCGAAAAUCGAAAAGUUUCUUAAAUUUUCUAAGGUUUCGGCAUUUUGUUUCAAAUCAAGUUUUAAGAAAAGGGGGUUAAAGGGUUUUAAAAAAGAGAUUUUAAAAGGUGAAGGUUGAAAAGACUUUUUUUUCUCUCUUUGGCCACCGGAGGCAACGACUGUCGUUGCUGAUGACUGGUGGCCCACGGCGGGCUCACGACGACUCCAUGGCCAGACUUGGGGCGUGUUUCAAAGAAAAAAAAUGAAGAAAAGGAAUUUUUUUUAAAAC